rnacentral:tRNA from 2 species
GUCCCGUUCGUCUAGUGGCCUAGGACUCGUGAUUCUCAGUCAUGCAACAGGGGUUCGAUUCCCCUACGGGAUGCCA